GGAAUCCAGCUACACGCAUGCUCUGAUGAAUUAUUUGGACAGGAAUUGUUACAAUUUGUUCUAGAUCAUGUUGAAGAUAAGAGGGUGGAAUAUUUGCUUGAGGAUAUUGAGGAGUUGCCAUUUUUCUGGAACAAUGCCUGCAUAUUUCGGGCAAAUGGAAAAAUUGGAAACUUUGUUCUUGAAUUGGGUGGGAAUGCAACACGUGAAAUUAAAAGGAACAGAAUCAUCCCUAGGCAUGUACUCUUAGCUGUGAGUAAUGAUGAAUAGCUUGGAAAGCUUUUGCAUGGUGUGACAAUUGCUCAUGGAGGAUUUCUUCCCAACAUCAACCCAGUUCUUCUUCCAAAGAAAACUACAGGGAAGGCUGACAAAGAGCCCAAGG